AGUGUAAGUUAAAGAAGGGCUGAGAGAUGAAUAAAGUAGAUUUUCUCCUCUGGAACACACUGCAGUUUAAUUUCACUUCUUUCUACAUUGUGUGAUGAAGGUGGAUUUAACUUUUAAAGGCAAAGAGACAAACCUCUGCCAGGAUAAAUGAAAAGACUCAGAGAGGGCAACUGACACACCACAUAAAAGAAAGGAAAUGCUUUCUGGCUGUUUCCUAAUUUUGAUAUCCGGGUCAUCGUCAGAAAUAAUUUCCAGAGAUCAUGUCACAGGUAAUGCCAAACUCAGAGAGAGGAGGGGAAGUUGGCAGCAGGAUAAAAUAAGUCUAUGCUGCUAUGGUGGUCUUAAAAUCAUCAUACUACAGUGACGUGGCCUCAUCAAUGUUAAUAGCAGCUCGAUUUAUGAUAGGUAAACUAUGGAACCAGCCUCGGUGCUCUUCAACAGAUGAUGAAUAAAGAAGAUGUGGUACACAAUGGAAUACUAUUCAGCCAUAAAAAAGCAAUAAAAUUAUGGGAUUUUCUGGUUUCAGUAUUCCCUGAAGACUAGGAAAAGCUUUAGAAGACAAACAUCAAAUGAAAUCUGAUCUGCAGGCAAUCAGAAUCUUGUCUUGCUCUUCAUGUUGAUAUAGUCAGAAGAAUUAGUAAAGAAUCAAGACAUCAUUUUACAACAAAGAAUUUUAUUAUGAAUGCAACUUUAUUAUAUGUUGGUUUAUUAGCCUAAUUUUAAAUUAUCAAUGACAUUUUUCUUUCAUAUCUUUGAGCAUUUUCUUUCUUUUUUUGUCAUCUUUAGAUCUAAGGCAAUUCUCCCUGGUUUUCUUCUCCUCCCUUGUUAAUGGUAAAUUGCUACAUUGGCGAUAUCUGUCAUUGACAAGAAAAUGAAUCACUAUAUCCAACUUAUUUUUGUUCUUCCAGAUUGGCUAAAAACACAAAUUCAAGAGAUUAAUCCUAUUUAUUCAGUUAAGUCUUCACUUUCUCAUUUGCAUUGUUAUAAAAUGUACUUUUACUUAAGUUUAUGCCAUGGGGUUAUAGAAACAAAGAGCCAUAAGAUGAUAUGACAUAACAUCAUAAAGAAUAAAUUACAUUAGAAAAACAUGGAAAAUAAUAUGACAUUCUGUUAUGUUGAUUUUAUUUUAUAUUAACAUUGCAACAAAUAUUGAAAUAGCUCGAAUUAAAAUAAAAUUUGCUGUAUACUCAC